UGGAUGAGCCCGCGGCCUAUCAGCUUGUUGGUGGGGUAAUGGCCUACCAAGGCGACGACGGGUAGCCGGCCUGAGAGGGUGACCGGCCACACUGGGACUGAGACACGGCCCAGACUCCUACGGGAGGCAGCAGUGGGGAAUAUUGCACAAUGGGCGAAAGCCUGAUGCAGCGACGCCGCGUGAGGGAUGACGGCCUUCGGGUUUAAACCUCUUUCGGCCCGCACGAAGCGCAAGGACAGACCUAUUACUGCACCGGCCAACCAGAUCCCUUUCCUUUCCCGUUUCCCCCAGAGGGGGUGGCCCCCU
rnacentral:rRNA from 1 species